UCUGUGAAACUCUUUCUGGUUCUCCCAGUGAAACCCUACCAUUAAAGUUCAUUCUUCCUAUUUCUGCUACCACCACCAUCAUUAUCAUCAACAUCAUAACCCCCCAAAUCCUUUUCCUUAUUUUCUUUCGAAGCCCUAGAAAUAUCUUUAUGUCCGCAGAUUCCCAAAACCUAAAACCUAAUGGUCGUUGUCUUGAAUAUUGGGUUCAAUUCGAGUUUGAAAUCGGAAGCAAGGUGGAUGAAUCAGACGAGGUUUUGGAUAGAAAAUGAAAGCCAAGAACUAGGGUUCUGUUCUGGUUCGAUUUUAAAGAAGAGAGAGAUGAGAAGGAGAUGUUGUGAUGGAAUCGUAUAUGGGUUUGUUGUUAUACCAAGAAAUCAAGAUGAGAAGAUGACAUCGAUGACGGAGGAGAAGAAAUUGAAGAUAGGGUUUGAGUUAAAUCAACAAGUAAUUGAGGAAUUGUGUUGAUGAUUAUGAAUUUGGUAACAGAGAAGAAUAAAACCUUGCUAGUGUUGAAUUUGUAGAUCACUGGAGGUGAUUGAAGCAUGAAUGGUAGUUCUAGUGGGUUUAGGAGAUUGGAUUUACCCAAUUUUGAGUCUGCAGUUAGGGUUAUGGGUUGUGAAGAUGAUGGAGUUGAUAUGGAGUUAAUAGGAGUGGGAAAAUUGGUGGUAUCCGAUGAUGAUGGUGAUGUAUGAAGCUGUUUAUGAUGAUGCUUGAUGCUGAUGGAUAAAGGUCAUAGAAGAUUGCCAGUUCUCUGUGAGCAGCCUACAACAUGAUUGGACUUGUUCUGGUAGUACUUUGAAGAUUAUGCUAGGUCUCCUUGUGCACGAAGUUCAUCAAUAAUUCAGCUUCUGGGUAUAUCAGGUUACAAGAAUUUACAAAGAUAAGGAUCACAUAGAAGUUGAGUUCACUGCGAGUCUCUUUGUACUGAUGGCUUUGUUUAUGGUUGGCGUUUCAAGAUCUUCGAGUUGCUGAUAAUGACCUGCAUCCAACAAAAGGGUUUGAAGAAAAAUAUCAAAAGGGAAGGUCCCUCUUGCAGGAGGUGUCUAGGAUAUACGGGUAAAGCUGUCAGGUUCGUGAUGCGAGCUUUUUGGGAAGCCUAAAACAUGGAACUGAAGAAUAAUGAUGCCAAUGGAGCGAUUUAACUGCAAGUCUCAAGUCGGAUUAUCCAAAUUGCACUCUACUUCUUUCUAAAAUCAUGGAGUGUUUUCUUUUUGGAAGUAUCAAGAAAGACAAGAUCAUAUACGACGAAGAGCUAAUAGACACAGCAAAUGAGGUUGUUGAUAGUGUUGACAAAGAUGAAUUUUAUUGAAGCUAUUUUCGGUGGAUUAUUAUCCUGAAGAUAACAAUGCUGAGGCAAUGAAAAAGAAGAUGGACGCAACACGAGAUCGGUUGGUAGAAGCAUUAUACCAAAAAGGAUUAUCACUUUACAAGAUCGAUUCUCUCAAGGUGGAAAUAUCUUUCUUCUCUUAAUGUAUUUUUCACCUCCUUAUAUUAACAUAUGAUUUUUCUUUAUCCAUAAACUGUUCAAAAUGGUUUAAAAUGCGAACGAUAUGCUUAUAUUAUCAUUUGUUGCAUGCGUUACCGAUUUACGGCUCCCUUCUAUGUGUCUUGAAUUCUUAUUUUUGAAACUGUUAUAAUGUGUCUUGAAUAGUAAAGUUCAUAGUCCUAACUUAGUCUCAAGGGUGUAAUUGUAAUUUAUGUGGAUAUAUAAAGCAUUAUGCUAGAGUGUCUCAAUAAGGCCAGUUGUUAUUGACAGAUUGAGAAGGGAAAGGGGUCAAGCUGUUAUAGAAUCGAGAGAGGUCCAGUGAAGAGUUUUUGUAAUCUUAUUCAUACAUAGUGAAUCAAUAUCAUUGUUAUUACCGUGGAUGUAGGUCACAUGACUCUAAUUGACAAGCCAUUGGCUUGCUUCUUAUGAUGUUUUGAAUUAUCAGUUCACUCAUGAAGCAAUGUGUCGAGCUGAAGAGGAUAGAAAAAGUGACUAGGUUCACCAGAAAGCUGUGUAAUGUUUAGCUGACGCUGAAGAGUACCCUACGUUUUUUCGAGAAACAUGAAGAGCAGGGAACCCAGGAAGAAGAGGUUGUUGAGGUCGAAGAUGAUUCCAAAGAUAUGAUCAAUAAGUACCACUUACAAGGAUGGUUAUGAAGCAACAAGAAACUAUACUUGUUUGAGCAUGUAGGUAAUGAAUGAUUUGGAGCUUGUCUCCAGGUAUUAUGCCUUUAAGAUUGUAUCUGCUAUUGGUAUUACAGUUAACAUUACACCUGCAGAAUUUGUAUGUUCUGAAAACUUAGAAAAUGUUUAUAUACUAGUCAUACUUUUGAUACUAGGCACAGAAUGUAUGGAACUUGAUUUUGAUUUCUAAAUGAACUGGAGAAACUUGAUUUUUUUUAUA